rnacentral:rRNA from 1 species
CACGUAGGCGGACAUUUAAGUCAGGGGUGAAAUCCCGGGGCUCAACCCCGGAACUGCCUUUGAUACUGGGUGUCUAGAGUAUGGAAGAGGUGAGUGGAAUUCCGAGUGUAGAGGUGAAAUUCGUAGAUAUUCGGAGGAACACCAGUGGCGAAGGCGGCUCACUGGUCCAUUACUGACGCUGAGGUGCGAAAGCGUGGGGAGCAAACA